rnacentral:rRNA from 1 species
GACGAACGCUGGCGGCGUGCCUAAUACAUGCAAGUCGGACGCAGUUGCGAACGGGUGAGUAACGCGUAGGUAACUACCUAUUAGAGUGGGAUAACCAUUGGAAACGAUAGCUAAUACCGUAAACUAGUAGAUGGACAUGCGUUGUAUUAGCUAGUAGGUAGGGUAAUGGCCUACCUAGGUAACGAUACAUAGCCGACCUGGAGGGGUGGACGGCCACAAUUGGACUGGGGCACGGGCCAGGCUCCUACGGGAGGCAGCAGUAGGGAAUCUUCGGCAAUGGGGGGAAACCUGACCGAGCAACGCCGCGUGAGUGGAGAAGGUUUUCGGAGCGGAAAGCUCGGUUGUUAAGGAAGCGGUACUUGACCAGGAAGGAACGGCUAACUACGUGCCAGCAGCCGCGGUAAUUC